rfam:Parcubacteria (Moranbacteria) bacterium GW2011_GWC2_40_12 TT79_C0001, whole genome shotgun sequence.
GGGUCGUUAGCUCAGUUGGUAGAGCAGCAGCCUUUUAAGCUGAUGGUCGCAGGUUCGAUCCCUGCACGACCCA